rnacentral:rRNA from 2 species
UGCAAGUCGAGCGGACAGAAGGGAGCUUGCUCCCGGAUGUUAGCGGCGGACGGGUGAGUAACACGUGGGUAACCUGCCUGUAAGACUGGGAUAACUCCGGGAAACCGGAGCUAAUACCGGAUAGUUCCUUGAACCGCAUGGUUCAAGGAUGAAAGACGGUUUCGGCUGUCACUUACAGAUGGACCCGCGGCGCAUUAGCUAGUUGGUGAGGUAACGGCUCACCAAGGCGACGAUGCGUAGCCGACCUGAGAGGGUGAUCGGCCACACUGGGACUGAGACACGGCCCAGACUCCUACGGGAGGCAGCAGUAGGGAAUCUUCCGCAAUGGACGAAAGUCUGACGGAGCAACGCCGCGUGAGUGAUGAAGGUUUUCGGAUCGUAAAGCUCUGUUGUUAGGGAAGAACAAGUGCAAGAGUAACUGCUUGCACCUUGACGGUACCUAACCAGAAAGCCACGGCUAACUACGUGCCAGCAGCCGCGGUAAUACGUAGGUGGCAAGCGUUGUCCGGAAUUAUUGGGCGUAAAGGGCUCGCAGGCGGUUUCUUAAGUCUGAUGUGAAAGCCCCCGGCUCAACCGGGGAGGGUCAUUGGAAACUGGGAAACUUGAGUGCAGAAGAGGAGAGUGGAAUUCCACGUGUAGCGGUGAAAUGCGUAGAGAUGUGGAGGAACACCAGUGGCGAARGGCGACUCUCUGGUCUGUAACUGACGCUGAGGAGCGAAAGCGUGGGGAGCGAA